GUGAAGAACGUAGCGAAAUGCGAUAAGUAGUGUGAAUUGCAGAAUUCAGUGAAUCAUCGAAUCUUUGAACGCACAUUGCGCCUCCUGGUAUUCCGGGAGGCAUGCCUGUUCGAGCGUCAUUAAAAUCACUCAAGCUUAGGUUUACCUAUUGCUUGGUCUUGGAGAUGGAAGCCAAUUUAUUGGAAUCCUCUUCGAAAUUCAAUGGCGAAGACCCUUGCUCUCCCAAGUGUAGUAAUAACUUAUGUCACUGAAGGAAGCGAGAAAUCUUCUGCCGUAACCCCCAUAUUUUCUAUGAUUGACCUCGGAUCAGGUAGGGAUACCCGCUGAACUUAAGCAUAUCAAUAAGCGGAGGA
rnacentral:misc_RNA from 1 species